GACGAACCGUGCGAACGUUAUUCGGAAUCAUUGGGCUUAAAGCGCGUGUAGGCGGGUUCGUGCGUCCGACGUUGAAAUCCCCCGGCUCAACCGGGGAACGGGCGGGGAUACGACGAGCCUGGAGGGGCGUAGGGGGACCUGGAACUUCCGGUGGAGCGGUGAAAUGCGUUGAGAUCGGAAGGAACGCCCGUGGCGAAAGCGAGGUCCUGGACGCCUACUGACGCUGAGACGCGAAAGCCAGGGGAGCGAACGGG
rnacentral:rRNA from 1 species